rnacentral:rRNA from 1 species
UACAGAGGGGGCAAGCGUUGUUCGGAAUUACUGGGCGUAAAGGGCGCGUAGGCGGCCCACUAAGUCAGACGUGAAAUCCCUCGGCUCAACCGGGGAACUGCGUCUGAUACUGGAGGGCUUGAAUUCGGGAGAGGGAUGCGGAAUUCCAGGUGUAGCGGUGAAAUGCGUAGAUAUCUGGAGGAACACCGGUGGCGAAGGCGGCAUCCUGGACCGAGAUUGACGCUGAUGCGCGAAAGCUAGGGGAGCAAACGGG